UUAAAAAGCUCGUAGUUGGAUUUCGGAGUGGGCCAGUUGGUCCGCCGCAAGGUGUGUUACUGACUGGUUUGCUCUUCUUCGCAAAGACUGCGUGUGCUCUUCAGUGAGUGUGCGUAGGAUUUACGACGUUUACUUUGAAAAAAUUAGAGUGUUCAAAGCAGGCUAUUGCUUGAAUACAUGAGCAUGGAAUAAUGGAAUAGGACUUUGGUCCCAUUUUGUUGGUUUCUAGGGCCGAAGUAAUGAUUAAGAGGGACAAUUGGGGGCAUCCGUAUUUCGUUGUCAGGGGUGAAAUUCUUGGAUUUACGAAAGACGAACAACUGCGAAAGCACUUGCCAAGAGUGUUUUCAUUAAUCAAGAACGAAAGUUAGAGGAUCGAAGACGAUCAGAUACCGUCCUAGUUCUAACCAUAAACGAUGUCGACUAGGGAUCAGCGGGCGUUAUCGUACGACCCCGUUGGCACCUUACGGGAAACCAAAGUUUCUGGAUUCCGGGGGAAGUAUGGUUGCAAAGCUGAGACUUAAAGGAAUUGACGGAAGGGCACCACCAGGAGUGGAGCCUGUGGCUCAAUUUGACUCAACACGGGAAAACUUUCC
rnacentral:rRNA from 1 species